rnacentral:rRNA from 1 species
AGGGCACCACCAGGAGUGGAGCCUGCGGCUUAAUUUGACUCAACACGGGAAAACUCACCCGGCCCGGACACUGGAAGGAUUGACAGAUUGAGAGCUCUUUCUUGAUUCAGUGGGUGGUGGUGCAUGGCCGUUCUUAGUUGGUGGAGUGAUUUGUCUGGUUAAUUCCAAUAACGAACGAGACUCUAGCCUACUAAAUAGAUCGUCGGCUUACAAACGCCGGCGAGACUUCUUAGAGGGACAGGCGGUGAUUCAACCGCACGAAACAGAGCAAUAACAGGUCUGUGAUGCCCUUUGUUGUCCGGGGCCGCACGCGCGCUACACUGAAGGGAUCAGCGUGCUUUACGUUCCUGCUCCGACCGGAGUGGGGAACCCAGUGAACCUUCUUCGUGAUUGGGAUAGAAGAUUGUAAUUAUUCUUCUUGAACGAGGAAUUCCCAGUAAAUGCGAGUCAUAAGCUCGCGUUGAUUACGUCCCUGCCCUUUGUACACACCGCCCGUCGCUACUACCGAUUGAACGAUUU